UACCAGCACCCCGAGUGGUCUGGACGAUUAUUGGGCCUAAAGCAUCCGUAGCCGGUCAUGCAAGUCUUCCGUUAAAUCCAGCCGCUCAACGGUUGGGCUGCGGAGGAUACUACGUGGCUAGGAGGCGGGAGAGGCAAGCGGUACUCAGUGGGUAGGGGUAAAAUCCUUUGAUCCAUUGAAGACCACCAGUGGCGAAGGCGGCUUGCCAGAACGCGCUCGACGGUGAGGGAUGAAAGCUGGGGGAGCAAACCGG
rnacentral:rRNA from 1 species